CAGCACCACACUAUUUUAAUUAUUGUGUCAAGAAUAAUACAGUUAGAUAUCUCUUAGGGACAGUAUCUCCUUGAUAUUCUUUAAGCAGUUCUUAACUCUUCUCAUCCUUUUUUUCCCUUCCAGAUGGACUUUCAUCAAAUUCAAAGAAAAAAAAAAAGAUUCCACUGGGAUUUAAUUCAGAUUGCAUUUCACCGAAAAAUUACAAGGAUUAACAACAAGGAUUAACAGCAUUGCUGCAUUCAAUAUUGCAACCCAAGGGGUCCCUGUGAUGACAGUGAGCUCACCCUGAUAAUCGAGGCUAAUCUCCCCAUCUUAGGGUUAGCCUAUUAGCAACCUAAAUUCCACCGGCAACUUUAAUUCCCCCCUUGCCAUGCACCGUGACAUAUUCACAGGUUCUGGGGAGGAGGGCAUGAGCAUCUUUGUCGGGGCAUUGUUCUGUCCAUCACAGAGAAGCACUCAGAGAUUCCGGACUCCAGUAUCCUCAUUGUACACUUGAGGAAGCUUGGGCUCAGAGGCUUUAUGAUAAUUCCAACAGUUUUUGCAACAGGAGGAUGAGAAUAUCUGUCCAGGAGCCCUAAUCAAGACUCAGCAGGAGGCUGGUGGCUUCCUUUCCUUCCUUCUUUUGCUUCCUUCCUGUUCUUCCUGUGCUUCCUUUCAGUUCUUCCUUCUACAUAUGGGGCCCAUCGCAUUCCCACUGACUCAGAUGCUGAGGGGCCAGACUGAAGGGACAGUGGCCAUUGCAUCAAGUCAGAGAACGGAUCUGACCCAUCUAGUAGAAGCUUAUUGUUUUGGCAGAAGCACAAGCUCUUAGAGGUGCAGCUGCAGGGUGUGACCUGUUGGGGACAUUGAGCUCAGUGACCAUGGGCCCUGAGAGUCUGAAAUCCUGGAAUUUCUCCCAAAACGAAGUCCAUGUAGGGAAGCCAAAGUGUGAGUCUUACCCGGCUGGUUUACAACUGACUGACAUUUGCUGCCUGGGCAGCUGCUGUGGGUGUCUGGAAACCCUACUGGACUAGGACUGGCCCCAGCAAAAAACAAGUGUUAUAGCUGCCCAGUGUCCUCUGAGUGGAUGCUGGUGAUUCUGGUAUGGAGCCCAGAUGUAAGGCAGCAGGUGGUCCAGAAGGCACCAGAAGAGGUCUCCUGUCAAAGUCAGGGCCAGAGAAGAAGGCACAGGGAACCUACUGCACGAGACUUUCACUUGCAACGAGCAACCCAUGAUGAGGAGGGAGGAUUCCUGGGGGCAUUGAGUCCCCCAGACACAAGGACCCAAGACCUUCUUGCUUGGAAAGUGAAUUACUCAGAAUUCCGAGAUGAUGCCAGUCUUGGAGGAAGAUGACAUGAGGACCCAAAACCUUCUUGCUUGGAAAGUGAAUUCCUGAGAAUUCCGAGAUGAUGCCAGUCUUGGAGAAAGAUGACAUGAGGACCCAAAACCUUCUUGCUUGGAAAGUGAAUUCCUGAGAAUUCCGAGAUGAUGCCAGUCUUGGAGGAAGAUGACAUGAGGACCCAAAACCUUCUUGCUUGGAAAGUGAAUUUCUCAGAACUCCACGAAGACUCCAGUCUUGGAGGAAGAUGACAUGAGGACCCAAAACCUUCUUGCUUGGAAAGUGAAUUCCUCAGAACUCCACGAAGACUCCAGUCUUGGAGGAAGACGAGGUGUUGAGAGAUAGCUGGGAUCCCUGAGGAAGGCAGCCCCAGUCUCCGGUGGAGAAUUAAGAGGGGCCCAAGCAGAUGGUUGGUGGUGGAAACGUCACCUCAGUAUAGUACUAUGGAGUUUCCUUUCACCCCCAACAGCUGGUGGUUUCCAGGGGUGAAGAGUGAAAAUUGAAGCAAGGUGUCUACUGUCCAGGUGAGAGCCACAUCCUAUGGCUGAGGGCCUGGGGGCAUUGGGGACCACCAAGAAUGAAUACUUUUCCAAUUAAGUGAAGUCUUUUGCACAAUAUUCCUGACCAAUAGCUAAUGUUCUCUGAGAGAGUCAGAGCUUCAGCCCGUGAAAGAGCGAGGGAACUUGUAGGAAGAUGUAUGUGAGUACAUAUGUGAGGAGAACAUGCUGAAGUAGCCCAGGGGCUCAGUUGAAGCUGAGGACUGGUGGUUCUGGUGGCUGUGCUGGGGGUGGGGGUGGCAGUGUGAGAUGGAAG
rnacentral:lncRNA from 1 species